GCCCGACUAGCUCACCGGUAGAGCGCCUCACUAGUAUCCUCUUUGAUAUUAAUACGAGAAGGACUAUACCGUAAUGAGGAGGCAACAGGUUCGACUCCUGUGUUGGGCA